GACGAACGCUGGCGGCGUGCCUAAUACAUGCAAGUAGAACGCACAGUUUAUACCGUAGCUUGCUACACCAUAGACUGUGAGUUGCGAACGGGUGAGUAACGCGUAGGUAACCUGCCUGGUAGCGGGGGAUAACUAUUGGAAACGAUAGCUAAUACCGCAUAAUAUUGAUUAUUGCAUGAUAAUUGAUUAAAAGAUGCAACUGCAUCACUACCAGAUGGACCUGCGUUGUAUUAGCUAGUAGGUGAGGUAACGGCUCACCUAGGCGACGAUACAUAGCCGACCUGAGAGGGUGAUCGGCCACACUGGGACUGAGACACGGCCCAGACUCCUACGGGAGGCAGCAGUAGGGAAUCUUCGGCAAUGGACGAAAGUCUGACCGAGCAACGCCGCGUGAGUGAAGAAGGUUUUCGGAUCGUAAAGCUCUGUUGUAAGAGAAGAAUGAGUGUGAGAGUGGAAAGUUCACACUGUGACGGUAUCUUACCAGAAAGGGACGGCUAA
rnacentral:rRNA from 1 species